AACGAACGCUGGCGGCAUGCCUAACACAUGCAAGUCGAACGAGACCUUCGGGUCUAGUGGCGCACGGGUGCGUAACGCGUGGGAACCUGCCCUUAGGUUCGGAAUAACUCCCCGAAAGGGGUGCUAAUACCGGAUAAUGUCUUCGGACCAAAGAUUUAUCGCCUUUGGAUGGGCCCGCGUUGGAUUAGCUAGUUGGUAGGGUAAAAGCCUACCAAGGCGACGAUCCAUAGCUGGUCUGAGAGGAUGAUCAGCCACACUGGGACUGAGACACGGCCCAGACUCCUACGGGAGGCAGCAGUGGGGAAUAUUGGACAAUGGACGAAAGCCUGAUCCAGCAAUGCCGCGUGAGUGAUGAAGGCCUUAGGGUUGUAAAGCUCUUUUACCCGGGAUGAUAAUGACAGUACCGGGAGAAUAAGCUCCGGCUAACUCCGUG
rnacentral:rRNA from 1 species